UACGUAGGGUGCAAGCGUUGUCCGGAAUUAUUGGGCGUAAAGAGCUCGUAGGCGGUUCGUCACGUCGGCUGUGAAAUCCCGAGGCUCAACCUCGGGUCUGCAGUCGAUACGGGCGGACUUGAGUACUGCAGGGGAGACUGGAAUUCCUGGGUGUAGCGGUGAAAUGCGCAGAUAUCAGGAGGAACACCGGUGGCGAAGGCGGGGUCUCUGGGCAGUAACUACGUGAGGAGCGAAAGCGUGGGGGAGCGAACAGG
rnacentral:rRNA from 1 species